rnacentral:rRNA from 1 species
UACAGAGGGUGCGAGCGUUGUUCGGAAUUACUGGGCGUAAAGGGCGCGUAGGCGGCCUUCUAAGUCGGACGUGAAAUCCCCAGGCUCAACCUGGGAACUGCGUCCGAUACUGGAUGGCUUGAAUCCGGGAGAGGGAUGCAGAAUUCCAGGUGUAGCGGUGAAAUGCGUAGAUAUCUGGAGGAAUACCGGUGGCGAAGGCGGCAUCCUGGACCGGCAUUGACGCUGAGGAGCGAAAGCUAGGGGAGCAAACGGGG